rnacentral:rRNA from 1 species
GACGAACGCUGGCGGCGUGCCUAACACAUGCAAGUCGAACGGACUGCGAGGAGCUUGCUCCUCAAAGUUAGUGGCGGACGGGUGAGUAACGCGUGAGUAACCUGCCUUACAGAGGGGGAUAACGUUUGGAAACGAACGCUAAUACCGCAUAAUGUAUUUAGGGGGCAUCCCUUGAAUACCAAAGCUUUAUGUGCUGAAAGAUGGCCUCGCGUCUGAUUAGGUAGUUGGUGGGGUAACGGCCUACCAAGCCGACGAUCGGUAGCCGGACUGAGAGGUUGAACGGCCACAUUGGGACUGAGACACGGCCCAGACUCCUACGGGAGGCAGCAGUGGGGAAUAUUGCACAAUGGGGGAAACCCUGAUGCAGCAACGCCGCGUGAGGGAAGACGGUUUUCGGAUUGUAAACCUCUGUCCUCUGUGAAGAAGAAAGUGACGGUAGCAGAGGAGGAAGCCACGGCUAACUACGUG